GAUAAGAAUGUUACAGGUGUUACUGAGAAGGAUGAGUCUUUGAAGAGUUGGGACAACGAGUUUGUCAAGGUGGACCAAAAUACCCUCUUUGACCUCAUCCUGGUAAGGGUUCGAGUUUCCUUUUUGACCUUUUUUUUAUAUUUAUUGAUUUGUCCUUGUUUGAGUUAUCUGCCUGGUAUUUUGUUUAAAGUUUUUUUUUUCUUUUUGGUUUUAUGGAAAAUAUUUUUUAAAAAUCGAAAAUGUUUAUUGAGUUUCUAGGGAUUGUGUUUUAUGCUUUGACGGUUUUUUUUUUUUUUUGCCUGUUUGCUUUCAACCAUCAUUAGUUUAUGACUCUCUUGCGCUAGAAAGUGUAGAAAGAAGGUACUUUUUUAUUCUUUUAGAUAUCAAAUUUGGAGGGAAAUAAGCUUUAUGUUUGUUUCCUGCUUCAAGUAUAAUUCAUGGCGGUUGAGCUUUGACGGCUUGCUUAUGGCAAUCGAAUAAUCUCAAGUUUGGUAUAUGUGGGCAGUUGCCAGGUAUCUGUAUUUGAAUACUCUCAUAUGAGAUUAGCCUUUUCUAAGCUGUUGCUAGUUAUCAUUUUCUGUGUAUUUGUUUGUUAUGUAUACACUGUUGUGAAUUAGCAUGGCUAACAUGUAAUGUUGUUUUCAGGCAGCUAACUAUCUGAACAUCAAGGGCUUGCUAGAUUUGACCUGCCAGACUGUGGCUGACAUGAUCAAGGGGAAGACUCCGGAAGAGAUUCGCAAGACAUUUAACAUCAAGAAUGACUUCACUCCAGAGGAAGAGGAGGAG
rnacentral:lncRNA from 1 species